AGUUAUUAUUAUUUUUAUUAUUUUAUUUCAUUAUUAUUAUUAGUAUUAUUUAUUAUUAUUAUUAUUAUUAUUUUCUACAAGUCCCAUGGUUUCCAUAGCAUUGGCCCAUGGCUAUUCCAAGUGGAGGCAAGCUACAUCCCUGCUGCAACGAGACUCAAAACUGUUGUGGGCUUUUCUGCUUCUGCCCCUUUUUUGCAGGCAAAGCAGUUUCCAUCGUGCAAUCCCAGUGCAGGCGCAGCGCAUGGAAAGAGCAUUGUCCUCCGUGUGCCGUGGAGGCCGUGGGGAGGGGUUUCCUGUCCCGGCCUGGGAAAGGAAACACCGGCCUCCCUUUGGGUCCCGAGAAGGCCAUUUGGGCGGAGGGAUAUGCAAGGCCUGCCAGGACCCCACCACAUCCACUCCAAGUGGUGCCAAACUCGGUCCAUGAGUAGUCAAUGCGCUCUGGUUUACACAGGCUAAAGCAGGCAUGGGCCAACUUCGGCCCUCCCUCCAGGUGUUUUGGACUACAACUCCCACCAUUCCUAACAGCCUACCGGCUGAUCACGGUGUUUUGCAGACCCCGUCCCGCGCAGUGUCCAUGGGACGAAAGCGCGGCCUCCCCAAGUGCCUUUUCCCUCUUUGGCUUUCUGGCCUUGGAGGCUGGCAGAAAACAGGCCUCGUCUGGAGAGCCUGGAUUACGGCCAGCCUUCCGCUUAUCUUUCUCUCUCGUUCUUCCGCUUUCCUUUAUUUGCUUUUCCUGCCUUGGAGUCUCGGGCAGAGGUUACCCAUGCGGCCCAGGGCAGAGCAUUCCCAGCGCAUCCACACCCUACAACUGAUGCAGUUUGGUGCCACUUGGAUUGCCACGGGUCAAUGCAAUGGGAGGUGUAGUUUGAUUGCCAGGGUUCGAUGCAAUGGGAGGCGUAGUUUGCAAUGGAAGGUGUAGUUUGAUUGCCAUGGUGUAAUGUAAUGGGAGCCGUAGUUUGCGAUGGGAGGCGUAGUUUGUAAUGGGAGGCGUAGUUUGAUUGCCAGGGUUAGAUGUAAUGGGAGGCAUAGUUUGCAAUGGGAGGUGUAGUUUGCAAUGGGAGGUGUAGUUUGAUUACCAUGGUGAAAUGUAAUGGGAGCCGUAGUUUGCAAUGGGAGGCGUAGUUUGUAAUGGGAGGCGUAGUUUGAUUGCCAGGGUUAGAUGUAAUGGGAGGCAUAGUUUGCAAUGGGAGGUGUAGUUUGCAAUGGGAGGCGUAGUUUGAUUGCCAGGGUUAGAUGUAAUGGGAGGCAUAGUUUGCAAUGGGAGGUGUAGUUUGCAAUGGGAGGUGUAGUUUGAUUACCAUGGUGAAAUGUAAUGGGAGCCGUAGUUUGCAAUGGGAGGCGUAGUUUGUAAUGGGAGGCGUAGUUUGAUUGCCAGGGUUAGAUGUAAUGGGAGGCAUAGUUUGCAAUGGGAGGUGUAGUUUGCAAUGGGAGGCGUAGUUUGAUUGCCAGGGUUAGAUGUAAUGGGAGGCAUAGUUUGCAAUGGGAGGUGUAGUUUGCAAUGGGAGGUGUAGUUUGAUUACCAUGGUGAAAUGUAAUGGGAGCCGUAGUUUGCAAUGGGAGGCGUAGUUUGUAAUGGGAGGCGUAGUUUGAUUGCCAGGGUUAGAUGUAAUGGGAGGCAUAGUUUGCAAUGGGAGGUGUAGUUUGUAAUGGGAGGCGUAGUUUGAUUGCCAGGGUUAGAUGUAAUGGGAGGCAUAGUUUGCAAUGGGAGGUGUAGUUUGCAAUGGGAGGUGUAGUUUGAUUGCCAUGGUGUAAUGUAAUGGGAGCCGUAGUUUGCAAUGGGAGGCGUAGUUUGUAAUGGGAGGCGUAGUUUGAUUGCCAGGGUUAGAUGUAAUGGGAGGCAUAGUUUGCAAUGGGAGGUGUAGUUUUCAAUGGGAGGCGUAGUUUGAUUACCAUGGUGAAAUGUAAUGGGAGCCGUAGUUUGCAAUGGGAGGCGUAGUUUGAUUGCCAUGGUGUAAUGUAAUGGGAGCCGUAGUUUGCAAUGGGAGGCGUAGUUUGUAAUGGGAGGCGUAGUUUGAUUGCCAGGGUUAGAUGUAAUGGGAGGCAUAGUUUGCAAUGGGAGGUGUAGUUUUCAAUGGGAGGCGUAGUUUGAUUGCCACAGUUGAAUCUAUUGGGAAGUGUAGUUUGCAAUGGGAGGCGUAGUACAUGUAAAUAAUAAUAAUGAUGAUAGUGAUGAUGAUGAUGAUGAUAGACAAAUCCCAGACACUUAGACCUAAUGUGCAUGUGUGCUGUGUUGUUAUGUACAUGAUAAUAAUAAUAAUAAUAAUAAUAAUAAUGAUGAUAAUAGAUAUCCCUUUUCUAUCUAGAUGUAAAAUAAGGAAAUAAGUAAAUGAAUGCAUUUUAUUUAUUUGCAUUUUACCCAAAUGGACUG